GAUGAAGAACGUAGCGAAAUGCGAUACGUAGUGUGAAUUGCAGAAUUCCGUGAACCAUCGAAUCUUUGAACGCACAUUGCGCCCCCUGGUAUUCCGGGGGGCAUGCCUGUUCGAGCGUCAUUUCACCACUCAAGCCUCGCUUGGUAUUGGGCAACGCGGUCCGCCGCGUGCCUCAAAUCGACCGGCUGGGUCUUCUGUCCCCUAAGCGUUGUGGAAACUAUUCGCUAAAGGGUGUUCGGGAGGCUACGCCGUAAAACAACCCCAUUUCUAAGGUUGACCUCGGAUCAGGUAGGGAUACCCGCUGAACUUAAGCAUAUCAAUAAGCGGAGGA
rnacentral:misc_RNA from 1 species